ACUCAGGUGCGAAGUGACCAGACAGCAGGCAUCCAAUUCAGUGCACUCUCUGGCACAUCAAAUAACUUUACAACAAACAGAAUACAACUG